CAUGGCCAUCUUCACAUCAUUCACAUUAUUCAAAACUUCAUCUAACAAAUUAAUCCAUAUAGCAUCUAUAGCCUUCUCAUCCAUCUCUUCAAAAUCCUCAUCAGCCAAUUUUUUUAGCUUCUUCUUUUUAGCCAAUAGUACCUUGGGUACACCCUGUUGUAUUAGUAAAUCUUUUAUUCUCCUGUACUAGAGUGAAGCCAUCUCUACCAUUAAAUUUCUCAAUGUCAAAUCUUAUGCCCGCCAUAUUUCCUAUAACAAGAGAACCGAUCUCUCUUUUGAU
rnacentral:lncRNA from 1 species